UAGGGAAUCUUCGGCAAUGGGGGCAACCCUGACCGAGCAACGCCGCGUGAGUGAAGAAGGUUUUCGGAUCGUAAAGCCCUGUUGUAAGUCAAGAACGGGUGUGAGAGUGGAAAGUUCACACUGUGACGGUAGCUUACCAGAAAGGGACGGCUAACUACGUGCCAGCAGCCGCGGUAAUACGUAGGUCCCGAGCGUUGUCCGGAUUUAUUGGGCGUAAAGCGAGCGCAGGCGGUUUGAUAAGUCUGAAGUUAAAGGCUGUGGCUCAACCAUAGUUCGCUUUGGAAACUGUCAAACUUGAGUGCAGAAGG
rnacentral:rRNA from 1 species